CCAGUCCUAUCUUGAGAUGGGUAUGAGCUCACAUGCAUAGUGUUAGUGUUUGCUUUGGAGAGUCAGUUCUGGAAUGAAGAACGUCUUUGGACCUGCUUUCCUGACCUCUGUGUGAAUCAGUGGUCACUCCUCAAUAAAGAGCUGUAGAGGAGGACCUGCUUGCUGCUUUAUCUCCAUGGGAAUCCUCAGGCCUGAUGGAUGGAUGUGGAACAUCUUUGUGAAGCUUUGAAAAAUUAUUAAGAAGCAGAGAAUUUUCCUCUACCUGCUGAUCACUUCUGAAGCAAGAUGGAAGAUCUGAUGGACCAAAACUC